GUGUUACAGGAGGCACCAGGGACAUUGGCUCAGCUCUAACCAGGAUGUGUUGUUUGUGUGUUACAGGAGGCACCAGGGACAUUGGCUCAGCUCUAACCAGGAUGUGUUGUUUGUGUGUUACAGGAGGCACCAGGGACAUUGGCUCAGCUCUAACCAGGAUGUGUUGUUUGUGUGUUACAGGAGGCACCAGGGACAUUGGCUCAGCUCUAACCAGGAUGUGUUGUUUGUGUGUUACAGGAGGCACCAGGGACAUUGGCUCAGCUCUAACCAGGAUGUGUUGUUUGUGUGUUACAGGAGGCACCAGGGACAUUGGCUCAGCUCUAACCAGGAUGUGUUGUUUGUGUGUUACAGGAGGCACCAGGGACAUUGGCUCAGCUCUAACCAGGAUGUGUAUGAGACACAGAAGCAUCGAGGCCAAACUCAGAGACUUUUCAAUGGCUUUCAUGGACUGCAUGAUCAACCCUCUACAGGAUCAGAUGGAAGAGUGGAAGAGAGGAACCAACACUCUGGAUAAGGACCAUGCUAAAGAGUACAAGAAAGUUCGGAGUGAGAUCAAGAAGAAGUCGUUAGACACUCUGAAGCUACAGAAGAAGGCAAAGAAAGGUACUCUAUCAUCUAUAUCUAUCUAUCUAUCUAUCUAUCUAUCUAUCUAUCUAUCUCUCUAUCCCUUCUCUACUGGCUGUGCCAUGGAAAUAUAAUUAUUACAACAUAUGUCCCGAUACAUAUAAUGUCUGUGGGCUUGGCCAUAUGAAGUAUAGUAUGAACUCUGUACCUCUAUGAGCUGUCGUUUCCCCUUGAGGUCAAACCUACACAGUCCAUGUAGUCUAAAGGAAAUAGAGUUGAAUGUCAAUGAGGCUACAUUUACUAUACAUAGUAGAUCUCUUUGUUCCUUUAUCAUCUCUGAACGUCAAUGAGGCUACUCAGGGACUCUACAGUAUAAAACACAGUACGUAUUUAUAUAACAUUUACUAUACAUAGUAGAUCUCUUUGUUCCUUUAUCAUCUCUGAACCACAAUCUCUAACGUACAUUUGGUACGCUUAGGCAAAUGGACAUGCAAAUUGAGUUGAACAUCCUUCCCUACCGAAUGUCUUUACUCUAUGCUAUGGUUUCGGUUAAGUUAUGUAAGACUUUUCCUGUUAUAAUCUCCACCCGGCACAGCCAGAAGAGGACUGGCCACCCACAUAGCCUGGUUCCUCUCUAGGUUUAUAAUCUCUACCCGGUACAGCCAGAAGAGGACUGGCCACCCCACAUCGCCUGGUUCCUCUCUAGGUUUAUAAUCUCUACCCGGUACAGCCAGAAGAGGACUGGCCACCCCACAUAGCCUGGUUCCUCUCUAGGUUUAUAAUCUCCACCCCUCAUAGCCUGGUUCCUCUCUAGGUUUAUAUCCUUCUGUAGCUCAGUUGGUAGAGCAUGGCGCUUGUAACGCCAGGGUAGUGGGUUCAAUUCCCGGGACCACUCAUACGUAGAAUGUAUGCACACAUGACUGUAAGUCGCUUUGGAUAAAAGCGUCCGCUAAAUGGCAUAUAUUAUUAUUAUUAUAAUCUCUACCCGGUACAGCCAGAAGAGGACUGGCCACCCCACAUAGCCUGGUUCCUCUCUAGGUUUAUAAUCUCCACCCCUCAUAGCCUGGUUCCUCUCUAGGUUUAUAAUCUCUACCCGGUACAGCCAGAAGAGGACUGGCCACCCCACAUAGCCUGGUUCCUCUCUAGGUUUAUAAUCUCUACCCGGUACAGCCAGAAGAGGACUGGCCACCCCACAUAGCCUGGUUCCUCUCUAGGUUUAUAAUCUCUACCCGGUACAGCCAGAAGAGGACUGGCCACCCCACAUAGCCUGGUUCCUCUCUAGGUUUAUAAUCUCUACCCGGUACAGCCAGAAGAGGACUGGCCACCCCACAUCGACUGGUUCCUCUCUAGGUUUCUUCCUAGGUUUUGGCCUUUCUAGGGAGUUUUUCCCAGCCACCGUGCUUCUACACCUGUAUUGCUUGCUGUUUGGGGGUUUUAGGCUGGGUUUCUGUACAGCACUUUGAGAUAUCAGCUGAUGUACGAAGGGCUUUAUAAAUACAUUUGAUUUGUUCCUGAUCCCUGUCAGACUCCGCGGAUGGUCAGAUAUCAUCUUGUACACAGGAAUCUGUCUAAAUGAUGUCUGGAAACACGGAGGAGGAAAAACAACAGAGUCAGCUCAUGUUGACCGUCGUUAUACUGAAACCAGGACACGGGCUGUGUCCCAAAUGGCACCCUGUUCCCUAUACAGUGCACUACUUUAGACCAGGGUCUAUAGGGCUAGGCCCCAAAAGAAGUGCACUACAUAGGAACUAGGGUGCCAUUUGGAACAGAUUCUCUGCUCAACUUCUGAGUAUCAGUUUGUGUCUUCUCCUCGUAGGACAGCACAUCCCAAUUGAAUAAGCAUAGGCAGUCAGUCAGUCUUUGUGCAGGCCUACGCACCAUGAAAGGAAAUGGAGACGCUAUUGAAGAGGUUCAAUUUGUGUCUAGACAGAUAGACAGAUGAGAGAGAGUGUCUACGGGGGAAGCUCCUAUUCAAGCUGUCAGUUAUCUUGAGUGACUAAAGUCCAGUUGAAAUGUCAAAAUGGCCGUCUUGAAAGCACCAAAACAUCUAUGCAUUUCAAAGCGAACUUCAACUUUUUUAAAAACUUCUUUAGCUCAAAUACUGUGCUGUUGUAUUUCCAUGGUGCAGUAUUUAGCAGUAUGCACCUGGUCUUCUUGUUCCAGUGUUAUUAGAUGUCCUAUCUAGAGGAGCAGUAUUUAGCAGUAUGCACCUGGUCUUCUUGUUCCAGUGUUAUGAGAUGUCCUAUCUAGAGGAGCAGUAUUUAGCAGUAUGCACCUGGUCUUCUUGUUCCAGUGUUAUGAGAUGUCCUAUCUAGAGGAGCAGUAUUUAGCAGUAUGCACCUGGUCUUCUUGUUCCAGUGUUAUGAGAUGUCCUACCUAGAGGAGCAGUAUUUAGCAGUAUGCACCUGGUCUUCUUGUUCCAGUGUUAUGAGAUGUCCUAUCUAGAGGAGCAGUAUUUAGCAGUAU